rnacentral:rRNA from 1 species
CCUACGGGAGGCAGCAGUGAGGAAUAUUGGUCAAUGGGCGAGAGCCUGAACCAGCCAAGUCGCGUGAGGGAAGACGGUCCUACGGAUUGUAACCCUCUUUUGUCAGGGAGCAAGGAGCGCCACGAGUGGUGCGGCGAGAGUACCUGAAGAAAAAGCAUCGGCUAACACCGUGCCAGCGGCCGCGGUAAUACGGAGGAUGCGAGCGUUAUCCGGAUUUGUUGGGUUUAAAGGGUGCGCAGGCGGAAGGGGACAGCCAGGGGUAAAGUGGCGGGGCUCAACCGCGCCGAGCCGUUGAGACUGCUCUUCUAGAGUGGGCGAGAAGUAUGCGGAAUGCGUGGUGUAGCGGUGAAAUGCAUAGAUAGCACGCAGAACUCCGAUUGCGAAGGCAGCAUAUCGGCGCCCAACUGACGCUCAUGCACGAAAGCGUGGGUAUCGAACAGGAUUAGAUACCCUAGUAGUC